rnacentral:rRNA from 1 species
UACGGGGGGGGCAAGCGUUGUUCGGAAUUACUGGGCGUAAAGGGCUCGUAGGCGGCCAACUAAGUCCGACGUGAAAUCCCAAGGCUUAACCUUGGAACUGCGUCGGAUACUGGAUGGCUUGAAUUCGGGAGAGGGAUGCAGAAUUCCAGGUGUAGCGGUGAAAUGCGUAGAUAUCUGGAGGAACACCAAUGGCGAAGGCAGCUCGCUGGGACGUGACUGACGCUGAGACGCGAAAGCGUGGGGAGCAAACAGG